ensembl:lncRNA
CUGAGUUGCUGUAGCUAGGCUGCAGUGUGUGAUUAUGAAGAGUGUGUGGGUUCUGUCUGAUAUGUACAGGCUGCAGUGUGUGAUUAUGAAGAGUGUGUGUGUUCUCUCUGAUAUGUACAGGCUGCAGUGUGUGAUUAUGAAGAGUGUGUGUGUUCUCUCUGAUAUGUACAGGCUGCAGUGUGUGAUUAUGAAGAGUGUGUGGGUUCUGUCUGAUAUGUACAGGCUGCAGUGUGUGAUUAUGAAGAGUGUGUGGGUUCUCUCUGAUAUGUACAGGCUGCAGUGUGUGAUUAUGAAGAGUGUGUGGGUUCUCUCUGAUAUGUACAGGCUGCAGUGUGUGAUUAUGAAGAGUGUGUGGGUUCUCUCUGAUAUGUACAGGCUGCAGUGUGUGAUUAUGAAGAGUGUGUGGGUUCUGUCUGAUAUGUACAGGCUGCAGUGUGUGAUUAUGAAGAGUGUGUGGGUUCUGUCUGAUAUGUACAGGCUGCAGUGUGUAUAUAGAACCUUUCAGCUGUCACCUUGGUGAGAGCUACUGACAAUGCUCUCCUCUCCUGCUUACCAAUGAGAAAGAGAAGAAGAGAGGAAAC